AUUGAACGCUGGCGGCAUGCUUUACACAUGCAAGUCGAACGGCAGCGCGGGCUUCGGCCUGGCGGCGAGUGGCGAACGGGUGAGUAAUGCAUCGGAACGUGCCCAGUAGUGGGGGAUAGCCCGGCGAAAGCCGGAUUAAUACCGCAUACGACCUGAGGGUGUAAGCGGGGGACCGAAAGGCCUCGCGCUAUUGGAGCGGCCGAUGUCGGAUUAGCGAGUUGGUGGGGUAAAGGCUUACCAAGGCGACGAUCCGUAGCUGGUCUGAGAGGACGACCAGCCACACUGGGACUGAGACACGGCCCAGACUCCUACGGGAGGCAGCAGUGGGGAAUUUUGGACAAUGGGGGCAACCCUGAUCCAGCCAUGCCGCGUGCGGGAAGAAGGCCUUCGGGUUGUAAACCGCUUUUGUUCGGGAAGAAAUCCUCUGGGCUAAUACCCCGGGGGGAUGACGGUACCGGAAGAAUAAGCACCGGCUAACUACGUG
rnacentral:rRNA from 1 species